UGGGGAAUUUUGCACAAUGGGGGAAACCCUGAUGCAGCGACGCCGCGUGAUUUAGAAGGCCUUCGGGUUGUAAAAAUCUUUUCUAUGGGAAGAAAAUGACAGUACCAUAGGAAUAAGGACCGGCUAAUUACGUGCCAGCAGCCGCGGUAAUACGUAAGGUCCGAGCGUUGUCCGGAAUCAUUGGGCGUAAAGGGUACGUAGGCGGGUAAGCAAGUUAGAAGUGAAAUCCUAUAGCUCAACUAUAGUAAGCUUUUAAAACUGCUCAUCUUGAGGUAGGGAAGGGAAAGUGGAAUUCCUAGUGUAGCGGUGAAAUGCGCAGAUAUUAGGAGGAAUACCGGUGGCGAAGGCGACUUUCUGGCCAUAACCUGACGCUGAGGUACGAAAGCGUGGGUAGCAAACAGG
rnacentral:rRNA from 1 species